rnacentral:rRNA from 1 species
GACGAACGCUGGCGGCGUGCUUAACACAUGCAAGUCGAACGGAAAGGCCCUGCUUUUGUGGGGUGCUCGAGUGGCGAACGGGUGAGUAACACGUGAGUAACCUGCCCUUGACUUUGGGAUAACUUCAGGAAACUGGGGCUAAUACCGGAUAGGAGCUCCUGCUGCAUGGUGGGGGUUGGAAAGUUUCGGCGGUUGGGGAUGGACUCGCGGCUUAUCAGCUUGUUGGUGGGGUAGUGGCUUACCAAGGCAUUGACGGGUAGCCGGCCUGAGAGGGUGACCGGCCACAUUGGGACUGAGAUACGGCCCAGACUCCUACGGGCGGCAGCAGUGGGGAAUAUUGCACAAUGGGCGGAAGCCUGAUGCAGCAACGCCGCGUGCGGGAUGACGGCCUUCGGGUUGUAAACCGCUUUCGCCUGUGACGAAGCGUGAGUGACGGUAAUGGGUAAAGAAGCACCGGCUAACUACGUG